GCAGGGCCUUUGGGAGGUGAUUAAUGUCCUUAAAAAAGAGGCUGCAGAGAACAUUUGUCUUUUUUUUUUUUUUUUUUUUUUUUUUUUUGCCUUUCCACUCUUCCACCUUGUGAGGACACAGCAACAAGCUGCCCUCUUGGAAGCAGAAAGCAGCUCUCACCAGACAUCAAAUCUGCCAGCACAUUGAUCUUGGACUUCCCACCCUUCAGAACUACUGUCUGCGAGGGAUGAGCCUGAGGUGUCAGCAUCUUCACAGGUCUUUUGAGCCUGCAUGCACAAAAGGGUCUACUGUCCCUGGGAGAUCUCAUCAGAGGUGCCUGAAAAGCACCUCAGCCGAAGGCCUCACAUAGAGAGACCUAAGAAUGAAGGCACCUGGACUAGGAAUGUGAAUAUGUGAAAGAACAUGACCGGCCAGGGGCCCUGAGUUAUUGAAUGCAACCCCCUUCAGACACUGCAACACACAGGCUGUGCACCAAGCCUAGUAUGGGAAGGACAGCUUUUCUUCAUGAGGCCUGCCAGGUAAAGCCAGCUAUGAAACAGGAAGUUGACCUUCACCAGACACUGAACCUACUGGCACCUUGAUCUUGGACUUCCCAGCCUUACAAACUGUAAGAAAUAAAUGUCUGUUGUUCAUAAG
rnacentral:lncRNA from 10 species